UGUAGGAGCGAGCUUGCUCGCGAUGGUGUGUCAGUCACCGAGGUGUCAACUGAUACUCCAUCGCGAGCAAGCUCGCUCCUACA
rnacentral:misc_RNA from 1 species